GCGCCCGUAGCUCAAUUGGAUAGAGUGUCGGCCUCCGAAGCCGAAGGUUGUGGGUUCGACCCCCGCCGGGCGCA
rnacentral:tRNA from 1 species